UACGUAGGGCGCAAGCGUUAUCCGGAAUUAUUGGGCGUAAAGAGCUCGUAGGCGGUCUGUCGCGUCGGCUGUGAAAGCCCGAGGCUCAACCUCGGGCCUGCAGUCGAUACGGGCAAACUAGAGUACUGCAGGGGAGACUGGAAUUCCUGGUGUAGCGGUGAAAUGCGCAGAUAUCAGGAGGAACACCGGUGGCGAAGGCGGGUCUCUGGGCAGUAACUGACGCUGAGGAGCGAAAGCGUGGGGAGCGAACAGG
rnacentral:rRNA from 1 species